UAAGAAGCUUUGAAAAGGAUAUGACUCGAUAGUCCCUUUAUUCCAGAGAGAGGCACAGUGGUGUGAGUGCCUUAUGAAGCCUAGCGAGUUACCGCCUUGGAGCUGAAUCUCCGAACUGAGUAGGGGAUUCCGGCCGCCCCGUUAUCGCGCUUGAGUACAUCGGAAUUUUUUUCUGGUGAACUAGGGUGGAACCACGUGAGUUAAGCUCUCGUCCCUUGA
rnacentral:ncRNA from 1 species